rnacentral:rRNA from 1 species
GCUAUCAAUGCUGACGAGCGGCGGACGGGUGAGUAAUGCCUGGGAAUAUACCCUGAUGUGGGGGAUAACUAUUGGAAACGAUAGCUAAUACCGCAUAAUCUCUUGUCUUUUACGAGAUGGGAGCAAAGAGGGGGACCUUCGGGCCUCUCGCGUCAGGAUUAGCCCAGGUGGGAUUAGCUAGUUGGUGGGGUAAUGGCUCACCAAGGCGACGAUCCCUAGCUGGUCUGAGAGGAUGAUCAGCCACACUGGAACUGAGACACGGUCCAGACUCCUACGGGAGGCAGCAGUGGGGAAUAUUGCACAAUGGGGGAAACCCUGAUGCAGCCAUGCCGCGUGUAUGAAGAAGGCCUUCGGGUUGUAAAGUACUUUCAGUUGUGAGGAAGGCGUUGGAGUUAAUAGCUUCAGCGCUUGACGUUAGCAACAGAAGAAGCACCGGCUAACUCCGUGCCAGCAGCCGCGGUAAUACGGAGGGUGCGAGCGUUAAUCGGAAUUACUGGGCGUAAAGCGCAUGCAGGCGGUCUGUUAAGCAAGAUGUGAAAGCCCGGGGCUCAACCUCGGAACAGCAUUUUGAACUGGCAGACUAGAGUCUUGUAGAGGGGGGUAGAAUUUCAGGUGUAGCGGUGAAAUGCGUAGAGAUCUGAAGGAAUACCGGUGGCGAAGGCGGCCCCCUGGACAAAGACU